AUUGAACGCUGGCGGCAGGCCUAACACAUGCAAGUCGAGCGGAUGAAGGGAGCUUGCUCCUGGAUUCAGCGGCGGACGGGUGAGUAAUGCCUAGGAAUCUGCCUGGUAGUGGGGUAUAACGUCCGGAAACGGCCGCUAAUACCGCAUACGUCCUGAGGGAGAAAGUGGGGGAUCUUCGGACCUCACGCUAUCAGAUGAGCCUAGGUCGGAUUAGCUAGUUGGUGGGGUAAAGGCCUACCAAGGCGACGAUCCGUAACUGGUCUGAGAGGAUGAUCAGUCACACUGGAACUGAGACACGGUCCAGACUCCUACGGGAGGCAGCAGUGGGGAAUAUUGGACAAUGGGCGAAAGCAUGAUCCAGCCAUGCCGCGUGUGUGAAGAAGGUCUUCGGAUUGUAAAGCACUUUAAGUUGGGAGGAAGGGCAGUAAGUUAAUACCUUGCUGUUUUGACGUUACCAACAGAAUAAGCACCGGCUAACUUCGUG
rnacentral:rRNA from 1 species